rnacentral:rRNA from 1 species
GCACGGGGGCAACCCUGGUGGCGAGUGGCGAACGGGUGAGUAAUGCAUCGGAACGUGCCCAGUCGUGGGGGAUAACGUAGCGAAAGUUACGCUAAUACCGCAUACGACCUGAGGGUGAAAGUGGGGGACCGCAAGGCCUCACGCGAUUGGAGCGGCCGAUGUCAGAUUAGCUAGUUGGUGGGGUAAAGGCCUACCAAGGCGACGAUCUGUAGCGGGUCUGAGAGGAUGAUCCGCCACACUGGGACUGAGACACGGCCCAGACUCCUACGGGAGGCAGCAGUGGGGAAUUUUGGACAAUGGGGCAACCCUGAUCCAGCCAUGCCGCGUGCGGGAAGAAGGCCUUCGGGUUGUAAACCGCUUUCGGACGGAAAGAAAUCGCCUUGGCUAAUACCCGGGGUGGAUGACGGUACCGUAAGAAGAAGCACCGGCUAACUACGUGCCAGCAGCCGCGGUAAUACGUAGGGUGCGAGCGUUAAUCGGAAUUACUGGGCGUAAAGCGUGCGCAGGCGGUUUCUUAAGCCAGAUGUGAAAUCCCCGGGCUUAACCUGGGAACUGCAUUUGGAACUGGGAGACUAGAGUGCGUCAGAGGGGGGUGGAAUUCCACGUGUAGCAGUGAAAUGCGUAGAGAUGUGGAGGAAC